rnacentral:rRNA from 1 species
AUUGAACGCUGGCGGCAUGCCUUACACAUGCAAGUCGAACGGCAGCACGGGAGCAAUCCUGGUGGCGAGUGGCGAACGGGUGAGUAAUAUAUCGGAACGUGCCCGGUCGUGGGGAUAACGUAGCGAAAGCUACGCUAAUACCGCAUACGAUCUACGGACGAAAGCGGGGGAUCGCAAGACCUCGCGCGAUUGGAGCGGCCGAUAUCAGAUUAGGUAGUUGGUGAGGUAAAGGCUCACCAAGCCGACGAUCUGUAGCUGGUCUGAGAGGACGACCAGCCACACUGGGACUGAGACACGGCCCAGACUCCUACGGGAGGCAGCAGUGGGGAAUUUUGGACAAUGGGCGUAAGCCUGAUCCAGCAAUGCCGCGUGCAGGAUGAAGGCC